GAUGAACGCUAGCGGCAGGCCUAAUACAUGCAAGUCGAGGGGUAGAGAAGAGCUUGCUUUUCUUGAGACCGGCGCACGGGUGCGUAACGCGUAUGCAACCUACCUUUAUCAGGGGAAUAGCCUCUCGAAAGAGAGAUUAACACCGCAUAAAAACACAGUACGGCAUCGUACAAUGUUCAAAUAUUUAUAGGAUAAAGAUGGGCACGCGUGACAUUAGCUAGUUGGUGAGGUAAGGGCUCACCAAGGCGACGAUGUCUAGGGGAUCUGAGAGGAUGACCCCCCACACUGGUACUGAGACACGGACCAGACUCCUACGGGAGGCAGCAGUAAGGAAUAUUGGUCAAUGGGGGCAACCCUGAACCAGCCAUGCCGCGUGCAGGAAGACGGCCCUACGGGUUGUAAACUGCUUUUAUACGGGAAUAAACCCCUUUACGUGUAAAGGGUUGAAUGUACUGUGAGAAUAAGGAUCGGCUAACUCCGUGCCAGCAGCCGCAGUAA
rnacentral:rRNA from 1 species